UACGUAGGGUGCAAGCGUUGUCCGGAAUUAUUGGGCGUAAAGAGCUCGUAGGCGGUCUGUCGCGUCGGCUGUGAAAACCCGGGGCUCAACCCCGGGCCUGCAGUCGAUACGGGCAGACUAGAGUGCGGUAGGGGAGACUGGAAUUUCUGGUGUAGCGGUGAAAUGCGCAGAUAUCAGGAGGAACACCGGUGGCGAAGGCGGGUCUCUGGGCCGUAACUGACGCUGAGGAGCGAAAGCGUGGGGAGCGAACAGG
rnacentral:rRNA from 1 species